CAGUAGCCGCGGUAAUACGAAGGGGGCUAGCGUUGUUCGGAAUUACUGGGCGUAAAGCGCACGUAGGCGGAUUGUUAAGUCGGGGGUGAAAUCCUGAGGCUCAACCUCAGAACUGCCUUCGAUACUGGCGAUCUUGAGUUCGGAAGAGGUUGGUGGAACAGCUAGUGUAGAGGUGAAAUUCGUAGAUAUUAGCUAGAACACCAGUGGCGAAGGCGGCCAACUGGUCCGACACUGACGCUGAGGUGCGAAAGCGUGGGGAGCAGACAGGAUUAGAUACCCCAGUAGUCCCUGUCUCUUAUAC
rnacentral:rRNA from 1 species